GCACCAAACAUGCGCCCAAUACUGUGAGUCAGCUGAUCGCACAUCUUCUUCGUUGAACAGAAGAUGAUAAUCUUGGAUCCACGCUCUUCUGUUCUGAGAAUCUGCUCUACACGUCUCUGUUUAUCCAUUGGUGCAACAACUUCCACAUACUGUGUGAUAGAUUUGUUCGCAGCAAGUUCAUUAACAUUGCCAAUGUUCACCUGCACAGGAUUCACCAAUAGAUCACCAGCUAUUUUUCUAACCUCCUUGGGCCAU
rnacentral:misc_RNA from 1 species